UACGAAGGGGGCUAGCGUUGUUCGGAAUUACUGGGCGUAAAGCGUGCGCAGGCGGCUUCUCAAGUCAGGGGUGAAAGCCCAGAGCUCAACUCUGGAAUUGCCUUUGAGACUGAGUGGCUUGAGUACGAGAGAGGUGAGUGGAAUUCCCAGUGUAGAGGUGAAAUUCGUAGAUAUUGGGAAGAACACCGGUGGCGAAGGCGGCUCACUGGACCGGUACUGACGCUGAUGCGCGAAAGCGUGGGGAGCAAACGGG
rnacentral:rRNA from 1 species